GUGGCAUGUCUGGACAGGGCAUGAAAGCUCUGCUCCCCUUCCCACAUACCUUGCUCUAUGCAUCUCUUCCAUCUGGGUGUCCAUCUGUAUCCUUUAUCAUACCCUUUUAUAACAAACUGGUAAACCACGACCAACCAUUUGCUUGUAAGUAAGAAUAUCUAGAGAUCGACCACUGAAAAUAGGAGUCCGAAUAAUUACACGACGUGCAGGUAAAUUCACCCCAGAUGAAAGAGUAGAAGUUGCUGCUAAGACCCGAAUCUGACCUUGACGAAAGGCUCCUUCAAUGAUAUCCCUCUCCUCAAAGACCUACCAAUGCAGCUUUCUGGUGCCCAGAUGAACAGAGGAGCCCC